AGCAGUGCUUAUGUCUACCAUACAACUGAUAUGCCUUCCGAGUUUGUUCAUUUGACUCCAAAAUCAGCCCCUGAUUGCUUGUAUAAUACUUUAAUGGACACACAUCAAAAGAACUUUGAAAGUGUUCUCUGUAAAACCCAUUCUCUAUCGGAAGAGGAUAUAGAGGUUAUUCUUCCUCCUGUGAUAGAACGGUGAUAGUGCUUCAACCCAUUUGGAAUUCACAUGAAAUGUCUAAACAGCCCAUCUGUUAUUUAUAAAAGAGGAAAUUCAUACAUCAGAACAAAACAUUUUGAAUUUUAGAUAAAAACAAGCGCUUUUCAUGCAUCUCAUCGAAUUUCUGUGAUAUCGUCGAAUUAAAAGGCGUUGAUGUUGAAUUUUAGAAAGUAUUUACAUUUACGUUUUCAGCAGUGCAUAUUGAUCUUGAAGUGACCAAUACAUCUGCGAACGAAUAUUCUGAUCAAGAUAUUAAAGCGCUGUUUUCUUUCUUUUAAAAGCAUACCCUGAUAUCAAUUUGUAUAUUAUUUUUUUACUUAUCCAG